AGUGUUUGGAAUAUGGAAAAUUAGCCAAUUUGAACGCGCAUGCAAUCACUGCAGCAGUUGGGUACAGAAAAUAUCUUCAGUGGGUCUAAUGAUUUACGAAGCUUUUUUUGAAGCAAGCUCAAUCGAAAGGUUGCUGAUGUCAACAGUAAGUCUUUCCUCGCUGUUAAUCAUGCCCCUGUUGGAUCAGAAAGUAUUCAAAGCGGAUCAUCCAAUUGUAUUUGUGAUACAAAGAAGACCUCUCUACUUUGUGCAUUGGUCCAUAUUGCACCCCAGAGGUUUUAUAAGUUCUAGUUGUCUAGAAACAUUAUUUUGAAUAAUUAGAUUUAUAUUUUUUUUUAUAUAAUAAAAAAUAAUCCAUAAAUAAGUAUAGUGAAAUAAAAUAAAAAUCUGAAAGUUGA